rnacentral:rRNA from 1 species
UACGUAGGGGGCUAGCGUUGUCCGGAAUCAUUGGGCGUAAAGAGCGUGUAGGCGGCUCGGUAAGUCCGCUGUGAAAGUCCAGGGCUCAACCCUGGAAUGCCAGUGGAAACUGUCGAGCUAGAGUCCGGAAGAGGCGAGUGGAAUUCCUGGUGUAGCGGUGAAAUGCGCAGAUAUCAGGAAGAACACCCGUGGCGAAGGCGGCUCUCUGGGACGGUACUGACGCUGAGACGCGAAAGCGUGGGGAGCGAACAGG